rnacentral:rRNA from 1 species
GUCGAGCGGUACAGAGGUGCUUGCACCUCUUGAGAGCGGCGGACGGGUGAGUAAUGCCUAGGAAUCUGCCUGGUAGUGGGGGAUAACGCUCGGAAACGGACGCUAAUACCGCAUACGUCCUACGGGAGAAAGCAGGGGACCUUCGGGCCUUGCGCUAUCAGAUGAGCCUAGGUCGGAUUAGCUAGUUGGUGAGGUAAUGGCUCACCAAGGCGACGAUCCGUAACUGGUCUGAGAGGAUGAUCAGUCACACUGGAACUGAGACACGGUCCAGACUCCUACGGGAGGCAGCAGUGGGGAAUAUUGGACAAUGGGCGAAAGCCUGAUCCAGCCAUGCCGCGUGUGUGAAGAAGGUCUUCGGAUUGUAAAGCACUU